rfam:Asian citrus Psyllid, Diaphorina citri - Florida Strain, whole genome shotgun sequence.
GCCUCGGUAGCGUAGUGGUCAAGACGCUCGCCGGGUAAACGGGAGGGCGUGGGUUCGAUCCCAGCCGAGGCA